CCUUCAUGAAGCCGGAAUUGCUAGUAAUGGCAGGUCAGCAUACUGCCGUGAAUACGUUCCCGGGCCUUGUACACACCGCCCGUCACACCAUGAGAGUUGGGAAUACCCGAAGCCUGUGAGCCAACCGUAAGGGGGCAGCAGUCGAAGGUAGAAUCAAUGAUUGGGGUGAAGUCGUAACAAGGUACC
rnacentral:rRNA from 1 species